CUUAAAGAAAAUCAGAAUUUGUAUAAUCAUGUUGGGCAUCAGUGCGAAGAAAUAGAAAUAGAAAACCCUAAACUGAAUCCGCGCCUCCCUCUUACCCGCGCCUCCUGUAGUUCGACGUUUGAGUGGCAUCCGUGUGAAGAACAUUUGUUUCUUUCUUAGAUGAUCCUUCCGUAGAUAUAAUCAUGCUACACUGCUGCCUUUCAAAAGAUUCGGCAAAUAUUUGACUCUGUUUCAUUCCAGAAGCUAUAUACAAAAUGUCUUUUAAAUCAAUGACCUUCUCUGCCUGAUUAUAGUGGAUUGGUGGCUUUCAUCCCAUAUAUCACAGCUGGUGAUCCUGACCUUUCAACCACAGCAGAAGCGCUGAAAGUGCUUGAUUCAUGUGGGUCUGACAUAAUUGAGCUAGGUGUUCCAUACUCUGAUCCUUUGGUAGAUGGUCCUGUUAUCCGGGUUUGGUGCUUUCUUCUUUUUCUUGUGAUAUCUAGUACUGCCUGAUUCUCAAAUUGAUGCAUUUUUCUUCCCAGGCUGCUGCUACAAGGUCAUUAGCAAAGGGGACCAAUCUUAAUGCAAUUUUUUCUGUGUUGAAAGAGAUUGGUGAUGCAAGUAUAGGUAGGAAUGAUCAUUGUCCACGAUGGGAUCCUUAUCAAGAUAGGAGAUAGGAGAUAGUAAGGAGAGAAAGGAAAAAAUAAGCCACAAUCUGCCAAACUUGAAAAAGACCAAGAAACCAGAUUCUGAUCCGCUUCCUUCCACCACUCAAAAUAUUAAGAUUUUUAACUCUUUACGAAGGAACAGAUGUGACCACUCACAUGCAAGAAGAAACAAUAUGCUAUUGGAGAAGGGGUUGAGUGAGUCCUUUCACUUGAGUGUGGCGGAGGAAUAAAGAAAGAAUAGAGAGAGUAUCUCUUCUCCAACACUUAUUUCUCCUUUUAAACCGUUUCGCUUUCCUGAAAUUGAUGAGAGGGACAUGAUGGACCAUGGUAAAAUUCUCAUGUCAAUCAUUGGGAAUUUUUCUCUCUUAAUUUGUUUCCCUCUUUUGGUCACUUGCUUUCAUUAUUCUCUGUGCACCAUGCCUUGCCACAGUAACCAUGUUUGUUGCAUUUCUGGUACACUGCUGGUUCCAUUGGUUCCUAGAGGUAAUUUUUUGUUGGUGUGCAUAUGAGAGGGAAAUUAUCUAUAUGGUUUUGGUUUUGGUAUACAUUCUCCAAUGUUGCAUUGCUACUUUUAGGAUGAUAUAAAUUAAUCUUUGUUUUCCA